CAGGGGUAGCAAUACUCGCUGGCGACCGGCGCACGGGUGCGUAACACGUAUGCAACCUUUCUUUAACUGGAGAAUAGCUUUGAGAAAUCAGAAUUAAUACUCCAUAACACUGCGAAGUGGCAUCACUUUGCAAUUAAAGCUCCGGCGGUUAAAGGCGGGCAUGCGUCCCAUUAGCUAGUUGGCGAGGUAACGGCUCACCAAGGCUACGAUGGGUAGGGGUUCUGAGAGGAUUUACCCCCACACUGGCACUGAGAUACGGGCCAGACUCCUACGGGAGGCAGCAGUAAGGAAUAUUGGUCAAUGGGCGCAAGCCUGAACCAGCCAUGCCGCGUGUAGGAUGAAGGUCCUACGGAUUGUAAACUACUUUUGUACGGGAAAAAACCCCUUGUUUCUACGAGGGUUGAUGGUACUGUAAGAAUAAGGAUCGGCUAACUCCGUGCCAGCAGCCGCGGUAAUACGGAGGAUCCAAGCGUUAUCCGGAUUCACUGGGUUUAAAGGGUGCGUAGGCGGAAUGACAAGUCAGUGGUGAAAACCUACAGCUUAACUGUAGAACUGCCAUUGAUACUGUUAUUCUUGAGUGUAUUGGAUGUGAAUGGAAUGUGUCGUGUAGCGGUGAAAUGCUUAGAUAUGACACAGAACACCCAUUGCGAAGGCAGUUCACAACACUACAACUGACGCUGAGGCACGAAAGCGUGGGGAUCAAACAGGAUUAGAUACCCUGGUAGUCCACGCCGUAAACGUUGAUUACUAGAUGUGUGCGCGUUAGCGUACGUGUCAAAGCGAAAGCGUUAAGUAAU
rnacentral:rRNA from 1 species